AAAAAAACUGAUCAAAGAAUUGGUUUAAUGGAAAAUGCUCUGGAAAAUUCUUUUGCAACAGUUCAUCGCUGUUGAUAUAAUCCUAAUUAAAAUUAUCGGACUCCAGUUUUGGUGGAGAUGUAAAUUUGCUAGUGUCUUUGAAGAGCAAUUUAGUCAUAUUCAUGAAAAUUAAAAUUGCAUGUGGCCUUUGACAUAGAAAUUUUACUUCUGGAAAUUUACAGAGAAAGUUGCACGUGUGCACGUACAUACAAGGAUAUUACCACUCCACUCUAGUAUUUUUUGUAGUAACGAAGAUUGAACAAACAUUAAUGUCCUCCAGUAAGAAGCUGAUUAAAAUUCAGUAUGAGACAUCCAUUGUACCCAAAGCUAGGUGGCCUUAAGAAGGUCAGUGUCGCUCAGCGACAGGGCUCGGCCCCCCCUCGUGCAAACCCACCCCGAGGUGUGAGGCCAGGAGUGUGCGGUCACGAGGCGCCCGGGAAGUGUGUCCAAUGCCCGAAGCAGCCCCCACCCGGGCGGUCCUGAGUCCGGGUCGCGCUCUGGUGUAUCUCUUUUGACGUCUGCUACCCACAGCCUGGGGCAGGAGAGUGGCGACGGCGAGGAGCAACUGCACGCGACUUGGGACCUUGCCCUGCCCCGCGGCCCGCGUCACCAUGGCAACUGCAGGCAGCCAGCACCGACGGCGGGAAAACGAGGACCGGAGCCGCGUUACAGCCUUGGCCUUCGAGCAGCCCAGGGAGAGUCUCUGCGUCCUCCAGCCCCCGCUUCCCUUCAUGUCGGAGGUCCUAAGCCCGCAGCGAAGUCCGCAAAGAGCUUUCCCCGACGCCUACGAGACCGGAAGUGCCUGGGCCCAGGUGGAGGAAGGACCCGCGUGGCCGCCUCCGCGCUCUCCCUGGGGUCCGUGCCCCUUCCGGCGUUUCUCCCGCGUCCUUCACCAUGGCAACUCGGGCGUCGGGAGCGUGGGCUGCGAGCCGAGUGGGUGGGGGAGCCGCCGGGCUCUAUCCGCCAGCCCACGAGAAGUGACGCAGGAAGUGCCAACCAUUUUGCCUGGCACAGUACUUGGCCCUGGGGGUACAAUGAAGAUCAAGUUCAAGAUCAAGGUGGUCCCUGCCCUAUGGUGCUUUUAUGGGGG
rnacentral:lncRNA from 1 species